CAGGACGAACGCUGGCGGCGUGCCUAAUACAUGCAAGUCGAACGGUCUUUCUAUGGAAGCUUGCUUCCACUGAGAAGAUAGUGGCGAACGGGUGAGUAACACGUGGGUAACCUGCCCAUAAGAGGGGGGAUAACAUCCGGAAACGGGUGCUAAUACCGCAUAGUUUUCUUGAUCGCAUGAUCGGGAAAGGAAAGACGGCCUUUGUGCUGUCGCUUAUGGAUGGACCCGCGGCGUAUUAGUUAGUUGGUGAGGUAACGGCUCACCAAGACGAUGAUACGUAGCCGACCUGAGAGAGUGAUCGGCCACAUUGGGACUGAGACACGGCCCAAACUCCUACGGGAGGCAGCAGUAGGGAAUCUUCCGCAAUGGACGAAAGUCUGACGGAGCAACGCCGCGUGAGUGAAGAAAGGUUUUCGGAUCGUAAAACUCUGUUGUCAGAGAAGAACAAGUUGGAGAGUAACUGCUCCAGCCUUGACGGUAUCUGACCAGAAAGCCACGGCUAACUACGUGCCAGCCGCUGC
rnacentral:rRNA from 1 species